UGCCUCGUAGCCAAGUGGUAAGGCAUCAGACUUUGACUCUGACAUGCGUUAGUUCGAAUCUAACCGAGGCAGCCA
rnacentral:tRNA from 6 species